rnacentral:rRNA from 1 species
GAAAAGAAACCAACAGGGAUUGCCUUAGUAACGGCGAGUGAAGCGGCAAAAGCUCAAAUUUGAAAUCUGGCACCUUUGGUGUCCGAGUUGUAAUUUGAAGAAGGUAACUUUGGAGUUGGCUCUUGUCUAUGUUCCUUGGAACAGGACGUCACAGAGGGUGAGAAUCCCGUGCGAUGAGAUGCCCAAUUCUAUGUAAAGUGCUUUCGAAGAGUCGAGUUGUUUGGGAAUGCAGCUCUAAGUGGGUGGUAAAUUCCAUCUAAAGCUAAAUAUUGGCGAGAGACCGAUAGCGAACAAGUACAGUGAUGGAAAGAUGAAAAGAACUUUGAAAAGAGAGUGAAAAAGUACGUGAAAUUGUUGAAAGGGAAGGGCUUGAGAUCAGACUUGGUAUUUUGCGAUCCUUUCCUUCUUGGUUGGGUUCCUCGCAGCUUACUGGGCCAGCAUCGGUUUGGAUGGUAGGAUAAUGACUAAGGAAUGUGGCUCUACUUCGGUGGAGUGUUAUAGCCUUGGUUGAUACUGCCUGUCUAGACCGAGGACUGCGUCUUUGACUAGGAUGCUGGCAUAAUGAUCUUAAGCCACCCGU